rnacentral:rRNA from 1 species
UGUGGGGGAUAACCAUUGGAAACGAUGGCUAAUACCGCAUAAUGCCUACGGGCCAAAGAGGGGGACCUUCGGGCCUCUCGCGUCAGGAUAUGCCUAGGUGGGAUUAGCUAGUUGGUGAGGUAAUGGCUCACCAAGGCGACGAUCCCUAGCUGGUCUGAGAGGAUGAUCAGCCACACUGGAACUGAGACACGGUCCAGACUCCUACGGGAGGCAGCAGUGGGGAAUAUUGCACAAUGGGCGCAAGCCUGAUGCAGCCAUGCCGCGUGUGUGAAGAAGGCCUUCGGGUUGUAAAGCACUUUCAGUCGUGAGGAAGGUAGUGUAGUUAAUAGCUGCAUUAUUUGACGUUAGCGACAGAAGAAGCACCGGCUAACUCCGUGCCAGCAGCCGCGGUAAUACGGAGGGUGCGAGCGUUAAUCGGAAUUACUGGGCGUAAAGCGCAUGCAGGUGGUUUGUUAAGUCAGAUGUGAAAGCCCGGGGCUCAACCUCGGAAUAGCAUUUGAAACUGGCAGACUAGAGUACUGUAGAGGGGGGUAGAAUUUCAGGUGUAGCGGUGAAAUGCGUAGAGAUCUGAAGGAAUACCGGUGGCGAAGGCGGCCCCCUGGACAGAUACUGACACUCAGAUGCGAAAGCGUGGGGAGCAAACAGGAUUAGAUACCCUGGUAGUCCACGCCGUAAACGAUGUCUACUUGGAGGUUGUGGCCUUGAGCCGUGGCUUUCGGAGCUAACGCGUUAAGUAGACCGCCUGGGGAGUACGGUCGCAAGAUUAAAACUCAAAUGAAUUGACGGGGGCCCGCACAAGCGGUGGAGCAUGUGGUUUAAUUCGAUGCAACGCGAAGAACCUUACCUACUCUUGACAUCCAGAGAACUUUCCAGAGAUGGAUUGGUGCCUUCGGGAACUCUGAGACAGGUGCUGCAUGGCUGUCGUCAGCUCGUGUUGUGAAAUGUUGGGUUAAGUCCCGCAACGAGCGCAACCCUUAUCCUUGUUUGCCAGCGAGUAAUGUCGGGAACUCCAGGGAGACUGCCGGUGAUAAACCGGAGGAAGGUGGGGACGACGUCAAGUCAUCAUGGCCCUUACGAGUAGGGCUACACACGUGCUACAAUGGCGCAUACAGAGGGCAGCAAGCUAGCGAUAGUGAGCGAAUCCCAAAAAGUGCGUCGUAGUCCGGAUUGGAGUCUGCAACUCGACUCCAUGAAGUCGGAAUCGCUAGUAAUCGUGGAUCAGAAUGCCACGGUGAAUACGUUCCCGGGCCUUGUACACACCGCCCGUCACACCAUGGGAGUGGGCUGCAAAAGAAGUAGGUAGUUUAACCUUCGGGAGGACGCU